rnacentral:rRNA from 1 species
AGCGAACGCUGGCGGCAUGCUUAACACAUGCAAGUCGCACGGGUGGUUUCGGCCAUCAGUGGCGGACGGGUGAGUAACGCGUAGGAACAUGUCCAGAGGUGGGGGACAACCCUGGGAAACUGGGGCUAAUACCGCAUGGGAGCUGAGGCUCAAAGCCUUCGGGUGCCUUUGGAGUGGCCUGCGUCCGAUUAGCUUGUUGGGUGGGUAAUGGCCUACCAAGGCUGCGAUCGGUAGCUGGUCUGAGAGGACGACCAGCCACACUGGGACUGAGACACGGCCCAGACUCCUACGAGAGGCAGCAGUGGGGAAUAUUGGACAAUGGGCGCAAGCUUGAACGAGCAAUGCCGCGUGGGUGAAGAAGGUCUUCGGAUUGUAAAGCCCUUUCGGCGGGGACGAUGAUGACGGUACCCGCAGAAGAAGCCCCGGCUAACUUCGUGCCAGCAGCCGCAGUAAGAC